rnacentral:lncRNA from 1 species
CUGGCUUACAAAAGGAAGAAAAUCCCUAAAUCAUCCUCAGUAUCCUUGAAUCUGAGAGUGUUGCAGAGUCUCUUCUUCUGUGAAAUCAAGAAGAUACUGUUUUGGAGAGUAAUUCUGGAUAAGGUCACAGAUAACUCAGGGAUAGCCCCAGAUCCCUGCAGACAUCAGCCUUCCUCAGAAGGCUCUGAGCACCCUUCACAAAAGAUACAGAACGGCCAGAGGCUGGUGCGGAUGUUAAAAGAUGAAGUCUAC